rnacentral:rRNA from 1 species
CCUACGGGUGGCUGCAGUGGGGAAUAUUGGGCAAUGGGCGCAAGCCUGACCCAGCAACGCCGCGUGAAGGAAGAAGGCUUUCGGGUUGUAAACUUCUUUUAAGAGGGAAGAGCAGAAGACGGUACCUCUUGAAUAAGCCACGGCUAACUACGUGCCAGCAGCCGCGGUAAUACGUAGGUGGCAAGCGUUGUCCGGAUUUACUGGGUGUAAAGGGCGUGUAGCCGGGCUGACAAGUCAGAUGUGAAAUUCCGGGGCUCAACCCCGGACCUGCAUUUGAAACUGGCGUUCUUGAGUGGGCGAGAAGUAUGCGGAAUGCGUGGUGUAGCGGUGAAAUGCAUAGAUAUCACGCAGAACUCCGAUUGCGAAGGCAGCAUACCGGCGCCCAACUGACGCUGAAGCACGAAAGCGUGGGUAUCGAACAGGAUUAGAUACCCGAGUAGUC